CAAUAGCGUAUAUUAAAGUUGUUGCAGUUAAAAAGCUCGUAGUUGGAUUUCUGGUUGAAGCGACCGGUCGGGCGUUGAUUCGUCUGCACUGGAGUCGGUUUUGGCCAUCCUCUAGGAAAGUGCGUCUGGUAUUAAGUUAUCGGGCGUAUGAUCCUGGUCUUUUACUGUGAAAAAAUUAGAGUGUUUAAAGCAGGCCUUCGCCUUGAAUACAUUAGCAUGGAAUAAUAAGAUAGGACUUUGGUCUAUUUUGUUGGUUUGCCGACCGAAGUAAUGAUUAAUAGGGAUAGUUGGGGGUAUUUAUAUUCCGAUGUCAGAGGUGAAAUUCUUAGAUUUUCGGAAGAUAAACUUAUGCGAAAGCAUUUACCAAGGAUGUUUUCAUUAA
rnacentral:rRNA from 1 species